rnacentral:rRNA from 1 species
UACGUAGGGGGCUAGCGUUGUCCGGAUUUAUUGGGCGUAAAGAGCGUGUAGGCGGCCAGGUAGGUCUGGUGUGAAAACUCGAGGCUUAACCUCGAGAUGUCAUCGGAAACCAUCUGGCUAGAGUCCGGAAGAGGAGAGUGGAAUUCCUGGUGUAGCGGUGAAAUGCGCAGAUACCAGGAAGAACACCAAUGGCGAAAGCAGCUCUCUGGGACGGUACUGACGCUGAGACGCGAAAGCGUGGGGAGCGAACAGG